rnacentral:rRNA from 1 species
GACGAACGCUGGCGGCGUGCUUAACACAUGCAAGUCGAACGGAAAGGCCCGGCUUUUGUGGGGUGGGUGAGUGGCGAACGGGUGAGUAACACGUGAGUAACCUGCCCUUGACUUUGGGAUAACUUCAGGAAACUGGAGCUAAUACCGGAUAGGAGCUAUUGCUGUUGGGUGGGGGUGGGUAAGUUUCGGUGGUUGGGGGUGGAGUAGCGGCUUAUGAGCUGGUUGGUGGGGUGGUGGCUGACCAAGGCUUUGACGGGUAGCCGGCCUGGGAGGGUGAGCGGCCACGUUGGGCCUAGGAUGCGACCCGGACCCGAACGGGACGCGAGGGUGGAGUAGGUGAUACCAGGGAGGGGAGCCUGAGCUGGACCAGCCGCGCCCGGUGUGUGGUCAAUCGCUUUGGGUACUGAUUUUGCCUUUACCGGGGGGUUAGUGACGGUACUGGGUAAAGAAGCACCGGCUAACUACGUG